GAUGUUUUUUAAUUUUAUUUUACAUUAGAAAAUAUUUUCUAUGUUUUACGUGGUUCAUUUUAUUUCCCUCCUUUCUUCCCUUCCCCCUCCCAGAAUCAACAAGAAAAACCACUUGUAUAAAUGUUAUGAGCUGCACAACCCUGGACAAGUUCAUAGAACCUCUCUCAGCCUCAGUGUCCUCAUCUUUAAAAUGGAAUUGUUGGGAGAAUCAAAUGAGAUAUCAGGUAGCACAGUGUGGUAAACAAGAGGGAAGUCUUAAAGCCUGCAACAUUUGGGAUUCAAGCUCCACUUCUGACACAAACUGACUACAAAACCUUGGGCAAGUCAUUUAACCUCUAAUGCCCCUAGGAAGUCAUCUGAUAGUCCAUCAUGCAUUUCAAAGUUCCCUACGGUGACCUCAUACUGAAGGUCACAAUAGAGAAGCUUCUGAAGAAGAAGAACUUGGGUGGUCUUGGCUAUCUUUCUUUUGUUUUCCCAUAUCAGAAAGUUUUUCAUUACACAAAAAAUAUACAGCUAGCACUCUUACUACUUGAGGUAGGUACCAUAAACUAUACUCUGAGCAAUAAGCAUCACAAAAGUACUUCAACAUGCAUUUUUUUAAAAAGAAGGAAAAUCAGCUAAACAAGUAAAAUGAGACAGAGGGAGACCCAAGAAAAUUGGACCUUUAUUGGUUAAAAAUUCUGGAAAACCUAAGGGC
rnacentral:lncRNA from 1 species